CCUGGUUCCCAGCGGGUGCUCAGUAAAUGCUGGUAGUAAUUGGUCGGGAGCCAUGUAAGGAAAGCCAGGGAGGGAAAACAUCUGGGCUUUCGGAAGAGCCGUGCACAGCUUCGUCUAGACUGCUGCUUUGGGCAGGCCAUUCCCACCGCCCCGGCUUCCCUACCUCGGCCGAGUCCCCCAGACCCUCCCUGGGGAAGACCGGCCACCCGCGCUGGCAACCGAAGGACUUCCUGAGACCUAGGAGAGAAGCAACAUGGCCCAGCAGGCCUCAGUAGCAUCUCCUUCCCGGCGAAUCUCAGAGGCUUGUAAGGCCUCCGCCUACAAAGGGGCCUGAGGCCUCGGCCUGCGUUCAGUGCGGGAACCUCCUGCACAGCGUCUUACCACGGGACCCCAGGAGUGGAGACCUGGUGGUUCUGCCUUAUGCAGCAGCUGUUCCCUUUUCCGGCUCCAAGUUCAGCUGGGGCUGGUGGGCGCCCUGCUCCCGCCUCCUUCAUUCAGAGAAGUACCAUCCAGAACAUCAUCAGACACCGUAGCAGAGGAAAGGCCACUGGAAUCAGAUGGGCCUGACUUUACAUCUUGACUUUUCUGCUUAAAGCAAGGGGCCUGCCUGACCUGCCCGGUGCAUAGCUAUUGCUCAGAGAGUAUUGACUUCCUGUUGUCCAACUUCGCCAUCUGUUGUGUGUCCAAAUUGGAUGUUCAAGGCUUGGCGCAAAUGCCUGCCUCUCCAUGAGGACUUCUCAACCCACCUCAUUGCUCACCGCUUCUCCAUCAUCCUCGCGCAGAGGGAAGCACAUACUGGGGGCCGUCGUCUGUGCCCCUUCAGUGUCCAGCAAAGCCCCAAGCGCUUAGUAGGUGCUCUGCUCAGUACUCUCGAUGUGACUUGGGGCACUUUACCGUGCCAGACGCAUAGUGCCUGCUGGAUGUUGGGGGCUCCCGCGAGGGGACCAGGGCAGACCCCAUCCCCACCGUCACGCACUUACAUUUGGGUUCUUGCCAAGCGACAAGGUAGAAGGUAAUAAUUUCUGAGCUUUGACCUACUGUGCACACAUAGACCCACUCAACAGAUAUGAGCUGACUACCUACUAUGUGCUGGGCUAGGCGUAGAGGAACAAGAGGCUGGCUCCCCCUUAUGUGGAAGACAGAGUGGAGGUGGGAGGCUGAGAUGAAAACAAUCAGUGUUCCAGGGAAGCAUGUGAGGGGGAUAAUGAAUAUGGAAGGAGGGAGUCCGAGAGAACCUUCAGCAGGCUGAGGCCCGGAGGACCGAUAGGACCU